AGUGUAAUUGCUUUUUUCCGAACUGAAAGUACCCUCCAGAAAAGGAGGAGAAGCGGAGAUCUAGAAGAAUCUUGUAAGGUUAUUUUUGUAAAUUCGAUUUAGGUAGAAUCAUUUAGGGGUAUAGGAGUCAAGGGGCAAAUGUGUACUUUUGCGGAAAUUGACAAAUUCUUAGAGGAUAAUGCGAGGCAAUAAUGGAGAUAUUAGGUGGAGGCAAUUGUUUUAAUUAAGUGAUGUUCCCUUUGAAAGUGAUAUAGUCCACUGAUGUGUUUAAAAGACAAAAUUGGUGUUUGGCCCACCACACCUCUCUACAGAUACGUACUGUGCAGGCCGUUUAGGCUUAUAUAGGUAGCCUAUAAUUGAACGGGUAGUAUCACUUUUAGACGAAACUAUAUAUAUUUGAAAUGUAUAAAAUUAAUAUAUUUUUAUAUAUAAUAUACAAAAUAUAUAUAUAUAUAUAUAUAAAUAUAAAUGUUUAAAUUUGAUCUAGCUCAAACGAACUAAAAAUUCUCUUUUUCGGUUAUUAUUUUUACCACGGUUAUAUUUUGCAUUCCAUAUUGGUACAGUGAUCAAGUUUACUUUUAUUACUGCCUAAUCCUUCUUAUGACUCGUCCCAUGUUGCCAUUAAGGUCAAGACAUCAACUUUAGAAAUCUACGACUCUACUACCCUAUCGUUUCAGAGAUGAGCAGCAUGUUCAUUCCUCUGUAGCUUCGCGGAGAAUUUUUUGGGCGGAAAUCUUAUGAUGUAGUUAUUCUUUUAUAAUUAACUUGGGUCUAAAAAAAUUUGCAUUAGAAAAUUUGCAUGGUCUAUGUAACAACCGGGUACGUGUCGAAAUAAUGAGACUAAUAAUUUGAUGCAUGAUGAUGUUCAGGUGCAGGAGGAAGAGAAGCAUAUUGGUCCCGUAGGCGAUCAUUUGCAUACGAGAAUGCCAGUGGGGUUGGACCCAGAAGCCCUCGUCCUCCUUACGACCUGUGAGAUAUAGAUCGGGUUUUCUUCUUUGUUACCCCUCUUGAGGCGGCUGAAUGGAGUCGACAUCCUUGACAUUUUCCUGGUUGAGAAUGUUCUGUAUGGUCCUGUGACAGUGUGUGUAGUGUGCUUAAUUUUGUAAAUAGUGUUAGUGCUUCUUGAUCUUGCGGAUGCUGUGACGAAGGUUUGGCACAAGCUGUAAGCAACGAAGUUCGUCAUGUAUUCUGCUAUGUAUCAAAAGCUUACCUUGUGAUGUUAUCCUGUUUACUGUCUUGUCUUAGAAAUGUUAUUCAUAGGCUUGUGGUAUUGAUAGUUUCUUUGGUGUCCUGUAUAUUGUUUACUUUCAAAAUUAGAUAACAAUUAAAUUUAUGAGUGAUUUUAAGAAUAAAUCAUUUAAUCUGACACAAG
rnacentral:lncRNA from 1 species